CCAAAUUCCAUUGCUUUUAUUGAUGCACAUAAUUUAGAUGAGUUGCACCCAAAGACAAUAACAAUUUGUUUUGAUUCUAACAUUUUAAUUGUUUGUCAGAUACAAUUCCACAUAACAAAUUCAAAUUGAUAUCAUAGUAGUCUUUCCACCCCCGCUUCAAUCCGACCUCUUUUGUUUCCCGUCACAUUUGGCAAUUCCUCUUUUCUUGCUGAAAGUCAUGUGCAAUGAUAUGUCGACGUCUCAUUUCUCGCUAAUUUAAGCUAGCCUGUCAAAAAGUCUUAGCAACUCUUCGUCUUUCUCGUUGGGUGAAUGAUUUACCUCGUCAUUAGACGAAACUCGAUUUUCUCGCCUAAAGCUUCAUCUUUUACCCAAUCGAAAUAUCCACACUCAUUACUACAGGUGAAGAACCAUCGCCCUUUGUUAUCGGUAUCCUGUUCAACCUCAAAAUAUUUUUGAUAUCUGCUGUCACAACUAGGGGAUCGGCGUUUUGAUUGGCAUUAUUCAAAGUAGUGCAUGUUGCUUCUACAAUUGUGACAGAUUCCAAAAUUUCUUCUUCUCAUUCUAAUCGAUAACUGCUGAAGAAGCAAAUGAAACAAAGUAAAUCAAUCUUAAUAAACAAACUCGUUAAAUUGAAAUUCAAUACCGAAAUUAGAUUGAAAAUUUUUAUUAAUAAACAACAAACAAAGAAUAAGAAAUGAAAUCAAUCCCACUGGAGGACUUCAAAAAUCUCAAACACCCAUAAACACAAAUCAAUAUUAAACAUCAAAAAAUCUAAGUUGAACUCUAGGUGUAAGCAUUAAUUUGAAGAAUAGAAAAACUCGAGCAGCCCUUGAUGAUCUCGAACAUUAGGGAUAAUCCUUUCAAACUAUCCUAUAAAUAGACCAAAGGUUAUUGAAAAAAGAAUUACAAAAAUGGUACAACAAUCGACAAUUAGUAUAACAAUAAAUACGCAUAAACGAAGAUGCAAUCAAAUUAAACAAAAAACUACAGUUGUUGUAGGAGUUUAUAUAGAUCUGUGAAUGCGAGUACUUCUUUCAAUCCCCACCACACCUGAAGGACUCGUGUAGGAACUCAAUAUUGGCCACCUAAUAUCUCUAGUUGUCAUUUAAACCCUAACUUGUGCACUGCGAAAUGCGGUUUUUAGUUUGAUCACUUGCUUGUAUGAUCUUCGUGGGCACCGAUCGACGGUAAUGGUGAGUGCAGCAACUGGUUUUGAGUUUGGGUCAGAGCUUAGUGUAAAGGACGGAGGUGUAAGAUUGGGAAAGGGAAAAGGAAAUGUCAUGCUUUUAUCUUUGUGGGCACCAAUCGACGACAAUGGUGAGUACGACAUUUGGUUUUGAGUUUGGGUAGGGGCUUAUGGCAAAGGACAGAGGCAUGAGAUUGGAAAUAGGAAAUGAAAUGUCGGGCUUUUAUUUUCAUUUCAUUUCAUCUGAAUCUUUUCUUUUAUUUCCAUUUCAUUUUCACUUCUUUUGCCUUGAUAAAUGCUUGCUUAGCUUUUUUAAAUUUCUGUACAUUUUCUGUCAAAUGUUUCUGUAGCCAUAGCGAG
rnacentral:lncRNA from 1 species